rnacentral:lncRNA from 1 species
GUAGACUCAGAGAAAACUUGCGAAGUUUAGGAUGGAGCUGAAGAGACUGGGUUCCGUCCUACGGUGGGAUUUCUUUCCGUGCUCGCGCGUUCAGCCCCAAGUCUCAGGGCCACUCGUCUGGGAAGUUGUAGAAUCUGUAUAGCCAACCUACACAACCUCCAAGGGGAACAGCCAGUGUCUGCCAGAUACACGCCACGCUUGCACCAGCUUGGAGGAAAUGUAAGGAGGGAAGAGAGGAGACGCUGACAUCAUUGAAUCUGGAGUCAUCUGAGCCAGUGACUUGUCUUCCCAGAUAGACUUCAACAAGGUGUCCAACUCAGUGGCCCACAGUAAAUGUCAAAUUAAUGAAGACAAAAUGGCAAUAAGGAAAAGGAGUUCCAGGCACUGUGACAGAUUUUUUUUUAAGGUUGCCUGUUUUAACACUGAAAACAAUCAGCAUGGUCUGAAAGAAGAUUGUCUAGAGGAAGAAAGGAAAAGAUAAUGAGAUUUUUUGCCACUGCCUUGAGGAUCCCUGAUUCCUAUUGAUUUUACCUGCCCUUGGACCUGUCCACCUCUAUCUUCACCUCCACCUCCCUGAUCCGGUCUCUAAUCAACUCUCACCUGGACAACAGAAAUGGCAGCCCAAAUUGUCUCCCACAUCCUGUCUUAAUCCCUCUGGUCUCUACUAAACUCUGCAGCCUGAGAGAAUUGUUUAGUUUUUUUUUUUUUUUUAAAUCUGCCACCCUGGCUGGAUUGCAGUGGCAUGAUCUUGACUCACUGCAGAUUUUUUUUAAAAAUCUGCCACCCUGGCUGGAUUGCAGUGGCACGAUCUUGACUCACUGCAACCUCUGUCUCCGGGGUUCAAGCAAUUCUCCUGUCUGUCUCCUGAGUAGCUGGGAUUACAGGCACGCACCACCAUGCUCCACUAAUUUUUGUAUUUUUAGUAGAGACAGGGUUUCGCCAUGUUAAUCAGGCUGGGCUUGAACUCCCGACCUCAGGUGAUCCACCCUCUUCAGCCUCCCAAAGUGCUAGGAUUACAGGCGUGAGCCACCAUGCCCGGCCAAGUUUUUCAAAGCACAAUUACAUCUGAUAUCCCCAUUCCUUGCUUUACCACUGCUCUUACGAGAAUGACUAAAAUCCUGAAUGUGACCCACCAGGCCUCAGGAGGCUCAGCUCCGCCUCACUCCCCAGCCUCACCCCUGCCACUUUUCCCCUCACUCCUGCACCUCCUCAACUCCCCAGUGAGUGCUGCUUUCCCCGACCAUGCUUCUCUCUGAAGCUGUUCUUUCUGCGGUGGCUGGUUUUCCAUUCCCUCUUCACUCAUGACUUCUAGUCCUUCAGGACAAACUUCAUACCCUCAACCCUCAAGCUUGGUUGGUUCAUUCUGGUCAUAGCCUUCACAGAACCAGGAGCUUUCUUGUGUAGCUUUUGUACACAUUUAUUUGUGUUAACUAUUUAAUUCAUCUCAUUUCCCUGACUACACUGAAAGUUCCAGGAGGGCAAAAACUGUGUCUGCUUUUACUCACUAUUGCAUCCCCAGAAUCUAGUAUUGUCCAGGGCAUUUUGUAGAUAAUUAUCAAGUAUUUGUUGAACAAAUAAAAGCUUCCCCCAUGUUCAAGCUACUCGACUCCCAUAGAAUAAGAUCAAGCAAUGAGCUCACAGGCAAAAAUCAUUAAACAUACAGGAAGGCAAAGCUAUUACAAGUAAGAGGCAGUAAAAACUGGAAGCAACGGAUUUAGACAUUGCCACCAUCACCAAGGAUAGCAGAUAAUGGAAUUUUCAGGAACAGAAUCCAGGUUAGUGGGUAUGGGGGGCACAGAAAUUAACAACAAAAGAAACAUCUCCCCUGCCCCCCAGCCAAGAACACUUACCCACCUCCGUCACAUGUUCAUAGAGAAGCUUUUCUAAAAGGGAGAGAGAAAUGCCAGCUCAGCUUAGGAAGGGCUUUUUCUAACAGGCACAAGUGUCCCAAGAUGCCCCCAGCUGCCUGAGUAGGACUGACUCCUUGUCACUACAGGUAAGCGGGCAUUUGAAAGGAUUAGAGAGUCUUCAAACCAUCAGAUAAGGGCAGGAGUGUUGGAUUACAUGACUGUGACUUUCAAAGUCCCUUGCAGCCCUGAGAUCCUGUGAAAUGUGACCAUUUUUUAUGAGAGUCUUAUCCAAUGGAUAUAAUUGGAUUUCUUUAUUAAAGGGCUGUAAUUCAUUUCUUAGUUAAUUAGAAGGCUGGCAUAGUCGGUUAUUUUCUUAUUUUUCAAAGGAUGAGAAUUUACAGCUCUGCCCAGGGGCCUUUCUGCAGUUUAUUGAACUCCCUUUGCAAUGUGUGUCCCCAGGGCAUGGCUCUACCAGUUUUCUCCCAGCCAACUUGCAGUGUCCCCAACCUAUGGAGAAGUGUCAGGUCUACAUCUACUUCCGUCUGGCCCUUUCCCAGAGCAGUCAUAGUCCCACUUCCCACCAGCCUGAGCUCCCUUACCAUUUAAUUACCUUUUGCUCUUCUUUGCUUCCAGAUAAGGCAAAGGCACACCAUGAUGAGAAGUACCAGGACAGGCAGGAUCACAGCCAGAGCCACUGCUGAGGGGGAGAGACUCCCCACAGAUGGGGCUGAAACAGAAACCACCAACGACUGACCUCAGGGAGAUGUCUAAGAGCUUCUGGCAUGCCUCAGAUGGCAGGCGGCUCCAGCACAUCCCAACACUCUCCAUCACCUCUAGGGAGAGAGCUCCGGCCAAGAGGCUCUUUGCUUCUCUGAUAACUCAAGCCCUGGAUAGCAUUAAAGAUAACUGAGGCUGGGAACGGUGGCUCACGCCUGUAAUACCAGCACUUUGGGAGGCAGAGGCAGGAGGAUCAUCUGAGAUCAGGAGUUCAAGACCAGCUGGCCAAUGUGGGGAAACUCCGUGUCUACUAAAAAUACAAAAAUUAGCCAGGUGUGGUGGCGGGCACCUGUAAUCCCAGCUCUUCAGGAGGCUGAGGCAGGAGAAUCCCUUGAACCCGGGAGGCAGAGGUUGCAGUGAGCCAAGGUCACACCAUUGUACUCCAGCCUGGGUGACAAGAGUGAAACUCCAUCUCAAAAACAAACAAACAAACAAACAAACAAAAACUGAGAUGUUCCUCUCUCGGGAAUGGUUUGGAUGGUCCUGCCUCAAGAUGAUGACUUAAACAAACUUCUUGACCACAAUCUCAUCCUGCCCUAUAAUUCAAUGGAAAAAUAAGCCCGGGACUUCAGAGGACUGAAGGCACUCUCCUCACUACACACCUCCAGUCUUCCCAGGAGCACCUGCCUGUUUACCCCUGUCAAUCCUCACUCUGCUCUAGAAGAGCAGGCAGCAACCUCUUUGCCCUGAGCACUGUCCACGGGGGCAAAGCAAUUUCUAUGAUGCCGCAGCAGUAGGCCUGAAGCCUAGGCAGGAGAGAAAGGGGAAAAGAAAGAGGAAAUAGAGGAGAGGAAACGAGCAGAAGCGGGCUAUGGGUAGAAGUAGUUAAGAGCCUAAGCUGGGAGUAUGUCCUUGCUCAAUGCUGUGUGACCCAAAGCAGGAGACUGAGCACCUCCCAGCCCAUUGUCCCUCAUCUGUAAAAUGUGUGCAUGACAGGACUCCUUAUCUCUUUGAGGUUUGGAGAGAUUUAAAGAGGUCAGUCAUAUAAAGCAUUCAGUCUCCUAAGUAGCCGGGAUUACAGGCACAUGCCACCAUGCCUGGCUAGUUUUUGUAUUUUUUUGGUAGAGACAAGGUUUUGCCAUGUUGGCCAGGCUGGUCUCCAGUUCGUUUCAAGGAUCAUUAAAAGGUUCAGGCCAGGUGUGGUGACUCACACCUGUAAUCCUAGCACUUUGGGAGGCUGAAGCAGGAGUAUCACUACAGCUCAGGAGUUUCAGACCAGCCUGGGCAGCAUGGUGAGAGCUCAUCUUUAUUAUAAAUAAAAAAGAAAAAAUAAGUAAAAGGUUUGAACCCUUGGACCCAUUAAUUCUACUGCCAGAAGUACAUUAUUAAAAAAAAAAUCAAAAUCACUUUCCAAAAUACGUUCAAAGAUGUUCAUUGCACCCUUCAUUAUAAUAUGAGGAAAAUUUGGAAAGCAUCCAGAUGCCCAGAAACAGGGCUUUGAUUAAUUUUAUUAUUCUAUAGCCACAUGGCAAAAUACUAUGCAGCCCUUAAAAUCAUAUUACUUAGGGACAUGGGCAAAGAAAACAAAUGCUCAUGAUAUCAUAAGUGGAAAAAUAUCCUGGGCACAAGAAUACACAUGUGUAAACAUACAUGCUCAGAGAUACAUAUAUACAAAAAAGUCUUGCAAGAAAGAUACAAAAAUGUUAGCAGCAGUUCUCUCUAAUUUAAGCUAUUAUAGGCCAUUUUUCAGUUUCCUUUAAAUAUUUUGGAUUUUUUUCAAAUUUUCUACAAUAUAUAUGCUUUAUUCUUAGAAUUUAAAAAAAUUGAAAAUUCCUCAAAAAGUUCCUGCUAGGGUAGGAAUUUCCUCAGGAACCACCAGCGCCUUCAAACCUGUUUCCACCCCAGCUUUUACUUGUUAUGACCACAGCUGUGGUCUUCUCUUGGCCAAGGGCCAUGUUGUGGAUGGUUCAGGACACAUUCCCCAGUGUGCUGUCCCUGACUCUGCUAGACACUGCUAUUUGGAAGAGCCCAGCUUUUUCCAGAGAGUGGGCCUCUGACAGGGAUGGAAGUACCCUGCCUUGAGGUUCUCUCCACUUGGCCCAGGGCUCUGGGAACCAUCCCACCUAUCUGCACACCAGCAGGGCCUCUGCCAGGGUAUGGUCCUGGCCAUGGCCCUCUUCCCCCAUAGCCUCCUGUGAUGAACAGGGGCAGCUGUUAAUGGAACUUGUCCUCUCUCCACUCUCUCCCCACGCUCCUCCUAAUGGGAUAAGCCAGUCUCUAGCUUUAUUCUCAGACAUUUAAAAAUUCACCCAUAGCAAUAACUGUAUCACAUGAUUCAGAUUCCUGUGGGCACCUCGGUCCCCUUUUAAAAAUUACUUUUCAGCUGGGCAUGGUGGCUCAUGCCUGUAAUUCCAGCACUUUGGGAGGCUGAGGUGGGAGGAUCACCUGAGGUCGGGAGAUUGAGAUCAGCCUGACCAACAUGAAGAAACCCCGUCUCUACUAAAAAUACAAAAAUUAGCCGGGCGUGGUGGCACAUGCCUGUAAUCCAGCUACUCGGGAGGCUGAGGCAGGAGAAUCACUUGAACCUGGGAGGCGGAGGUUGUGGUGAGCCCAGAUAGCAUCAUUGCACUCCAGCCUGGGCAACAAGAGUGAAACUCCAUCUCCAAAAAAAAGAAAAAAGAAAAAAAAAUUAGUUGGCCAUGGUGGCGGGCACCAGUAAUCCCAGCUAACUCAGGAGGCUGAGGCAGGAGAAUCACCUGAACCCAGGAGGCGAAGUUGCAGUGAGCCAAGAUUGCACCAAUGCACUCCAGCCUGGGCAACAAGAGCAACACUCCAUCUCAAAAAAAAAAAAAAAAAAAAAAAAAAAAAUUAAUUUUCACCCCAAAGGACUCCAAUUUGGAAAGUCUGUCUACCAACUACUGAGUGUUUUAAAGUAAUUGAUUCAUCCCCACUUCAUGGUGUGUGACUUCAAAUUAUGACCAAAAGAUAAUCAGCAUGUGACCAUGUGAAGCCAGUGUCAUUCAAGCAAAUGCAAAGACAUGGUUUGGGUUGGGUUGAGUUGGGUUUGGUUUGGUAGACUGAUUUUUUAAAAUAUUAGUAGACUGAUUUUUGUGGA